UACGAAGGGGGCUAGCGUUGCUCGGAAUCACUGGGCGUAAAGGGUGCGUAGGCGGGGCUUUAAGUCAGGGGUGAAAUCCUGGAGCUCAACUCCAGAACUGCCUUUGAUACUGAAGAUCUUGAGUUCGGGAGAGGUGUGUGGAACUGCGAGUGUAGAGGUGAAAUUCGUAGAUAUUCGCAAGAACACCAGUGGCGAAGGCGGCUCACUGGCCCGAUACUGACGCUGAGGCACGAAAGCGUGGGGAGCAAACAGG
rnacentral:rRNA from 1 species